rnacentral:rRNA from 1 species
ACGGAGGAUCCAAGCGUUAUCCGGAUUUAUUGGGUUUAAAGGGUGCGUAGGCGGCCUGUUAAGUCAGGGGUGAAAGACGGUAGCUCAACUAUCGCAGUGCCCUUGAUACUGACGGGCUUGAAUGGACUAGAGGUAGGCGGAAUGAGACAAGUAGCGGUGAAAUGCAUAGAUAUGUCUCAGAACACCGAUUGCGAAGGCAGCUUACUAUGGUCUUAUUGACGCUGAGGCACGAAAGCGUGGGGAUCAAACAGG